GCGCCCUCUCUGCUUCGAGGUGCCCGCGUGUGCGCGGGAGAAUCGGGAAGGCGGUGCAAUUCCGCCGCGCGCCCAGCGCCGUGUAGGGGAUUGUCCGGGCGAGGUUCGCCCAGCCACUGGUCCACGAGGACCGGGAAGGCGCCCGGACGAGAUGAUCCGCAGCCGGAAGACCGGCCUCGAAGUGCAUCCCGCA
rnacentral:ncRNA from 2 species